rnacentral:rRNA from 1 species
AAAGCGUGGGGAGCAAACAGGAUUAGAUACCCUGGUAGUCCACGCCGUAAACGAUGUCUACUAGCUGUUGGGUCCCUUGCGACUUGGUUACGCAGCUAACGCAAUAAAUCGACCGCCUGGGGAGUACGGCCGCAAGGUUAAAACUCAAAUGAAUUGACGGGGGCCCGCACAAGCGGUGGAGCAUGUGGUUUAAUUCGAUGCAACCCGAAAAACCUUACCUGCUCUUGACAUCCCGACAAACUUGCAGAGAUGCUUUAGUGCCUUCUGGAAUUAGGAGACAGGUGCUGCAUGGCUGUCGUCAGCUCGUGUUGUGAGAUG